AGACCCGAAACCCGGUGAUCUAGCCAUGGGCAGGUUGAAGGUUGGGUAACACUAACUGGAGGACCGAACCGACUAAUGUUGAAAAAUUAGCGGAUGACUUGUGGCUGGGGGUGAAAGGCCAAUCAAACCGGGAGAUAGCUGGUUCUCCCCGAAAGCUAUUUAGGUAGCGCCUCGUGAAUUCAUCUCCGGGGGUAGAGCACUGUUUCGGCAAGGGGGUCAUCCCGACUUACCAACCCGAUGCAAACUGCGAAUACCGGAGAAUGUUAUCACGGGAGACACACGGCGGGUGCUAACGUCCGUCGUGAAGAGGGAAACAACCCAGACCGCCAGCUAAGGUCCCAAAGUCAUGGUUAAGUGGGAAACGAUGUGGGAAGGCCCAGACAGCCAGGAUGUUGGCUUAGAAGCAGCCAUCAUUUAAAGAAAGCGUAAUAGCUCACUGGUCGAGUCGGCCUGCGCGGAAGAUGUAACGGGGCUAAACCAUGCACCGAAGCUGCGGCAGCGACACUGUGUGUUGUUGGGUAGGGGAGCGUUCUGUAAGCCUGUGAAGGUGUGCUGUGAGGCAUGCUGGAGGUAUC
rnacentral:rRNA from 1 species